rnacentral:lncRNA from 1 species
UGGUUAUUUUUUUACAAUCUCACAUUCUCAAUGCAAAAUGAUAAGUUUUUUUUUUUUUUUUUUUUUUGGUUUGGGCGCAUGUAACAGGGACUUAAUAUGUUAACUUGUUAGUUUUAAAUGUUUUUUAAAAAAAAAAGGGAAAAAGAAGAGGUUUUAUGAUUGGAGCGUGAGUAGAGAGGGGUCUAUUUUGUUUACUGUAGGGAUUUUAUAUAGGAUUUUGGAAUGAGAAAGGUUGCAGGUUUCACCUUAUUUUUACGUGAUUAAGGCUUGGGAGUGUGUGAAACUAGAACUCGGGAGUGUUGAGACUUUUAUGUGUAAGUUUUAGAGACAAUAAAUGAAAAAAAAAAAUAGAGAAAAAGAAGGUGAGGGGUCGUGAGAGUAUUAGAAGAAAGUAAAUUUAGAAGUGGAAAAUUUGCAGUAUUAGAAAUUUUGGAUACAUGUUUGGAGAAGAGAAAAAAAAUGUGUUGUACUUUAGAAAAUGAAGGUUGGUAAAUAAUAUAUUAUAUUUUAUAUUACAUUUAAUUAUUAUUUCUUUAUUAUGAUUCUUGUAUAUUAUAAAAUUAGUAUAUAAUAUAUAUAUA